UCCAGGCCAGAAUACUGGAGUGGGUUACCAUUUCCUUCUCCAGAGAGGUCUGAAAAAGAACAAUCAUUUGUGGAGAAUGGUGGCUCCGUCUGAAUGCUUGUAGCUUUAGGAGAGACUCUGUAAAUUCCCCUAACCCAGUUGAAGGAUAAAGGAGGACUUUGAGCUGAUUGUUGAGUACAGAAAGAGUUAGGUAGGCAAAAUGAGGCAAGAAGAGCCUUCUAGGCAGAACUUGUACAGAGAGAGAUCCAGAGGUACUGAAAAAUGAGGCUACUGAGGAGGUUUUGCAAUGAAGCUGAAGUUUCAGGACAUGUCAUUUGUACUCCCCUGUUCAAGGCACGUAACUAAUUUUUGUAUUUUUCUUUAAAAGACCAUCUCCCGAAUUUUGUAAGCUUCAGGGCACAUUACUUUUCCAACAAAGGUCCGUCUAGUCAAAGCUAUGGUUUUUCCAGUAGUCAUGUAUGGAUGUGAGAGUUGGGCUAUAAAGAAAACUGAGCAGGCCGGAGCCUGCGACCUAGUGGGAGUGGAGUGGAGCAGCUGUUGUUGCCGACUCUUUCCUCCUCCCCACGGUCCGGUCAGCGGGUUGAUUAGGCCAUCGGCCCUCAAGCCGAGACUUGUCUCUUAUUUAGUUCUGGGAAGCGCCUGGCCGACAUGAAUGAUGUAGAGGAGAACAACUUCGAGGGCAGAGAGUCUCGCUCUCAGUCAAAAUCUCCAAUGGGAUCUCCUGCUCGUGUAAAAUGGAGAGCAGGUCAGGAUCUCGUAGUCCAUCAAGGGUUUCCAAACACUCUGAAUCCCAUUCUCGAUCAAGAUCAAAAUCCAGGUCGAGGUCAAGGAGGCAUUCUCAUAAACGUUACAGUCGAUCCAGAUCCCAUUCUCACUCUCAUAGGAGACGAUCUCGAAGUAGGUCAUAUACACCAGAAUACCGGCGUCGAAGGAGCCGAAGUCAUUCUCCAAUGUCUAACCGGAGAAGACAUACAGGCAGCAGGGCAAAUCCUGAUCCCAAUACUUGUCUAGGAGUGUUUGGCCUCAGUUUGUACACAACAGAGAGAGAUCUUCGCGAAGUAUUUUCUCGAUAUGGACCGUUGAGUGGUGUCAAUGUGGUUUAUGACCAGCGAACUGGACGGUCACGGGCAUUUGCUUUUGUUUAUUUCGAGAGAAUAGAUGACUCAAAGGAGGCUAUAGAAAGGGCAAAUGGAAUGGAACUGGAUGGUAGAAGAAUUCGGGUGGAUUAUUCUAUCACCAAGAGAGCACACACACCAACACCAGGCAUAUACAUGGGCAGACCAACUCACGGUGGUGGCGGUGGUGGCGGUGGUGGAGGUGGGGGAGGUGGCAGACGUCGAGAUUCUUACUAUGAUCGAGGAUAUGAUCGUGGGUACAACAGAUAUGAAGACUAUGAUUACCGGUACAGAAGAAGAUCACCUUCUCCUUAUUAUAGUCGAUACAGAUCACGAUCAAGAUCUCGAUCCUACAGCCCAAGACGCUAUUAAUAAGCAGAGCAGUUGCAGUUGAGGACAUCUUUUUUUCUUUUUUUAAUUCUGGAUUUCCCCAAGCUUCUAAUCCUUUCUACUCCUCAAAAAGAACCCUUAAAAAAUCUUUGGUUUGUUUAGCAUCUACACUUUGUCAAUUGUAUUGCUAUUUUCCACCCCUUUUAUUAUAUUCUUAAAAAUGUAAUUGUCAUUUUUGAGUAGUUAAACAUCUUGAGUAAAAAAGGAACCCCCCCCCCCGUGUUAUGCUUUGUAAAUGAUUUUUUUGUUUGUUUUUUGCUUUUAUGGAAAAUUCACUCCUAGCUUAUCAAAAUGAGGAAAGAAAUGAUCUUUUUAGAGCUUCUUUUGUGUUAUAUAUUGUAUUAGACAUUGUAUUAGAGGUCUGCAUUUACUACAGACUCCUUUUUUAACUUUCUUUUGGGGAAGUUAGUUGUAGUUCAGUCAGGUCAAGUUUGUCUGGGGUGGCAUGGAGCAGUCAAAUAGUUGAGUAUAGAAAGUUUGAAGCUAUAGAAGAAAAUACUUACUUGGUCAUUUCUUUUGAAGAACGUAAUUUUUGAACCCUAAAAAUUACUUCUUUUUUUAGAAAUGAAAAGCUUGUGGACUCCUAUAAAACAUGUUGUAUUUAAAAUACAUUUGUUGAAACUUA